rnacentral:sRNA from 1 species
AGCAGCCGCGGUAAUUCCAGCUCCAAUAGCGUAUAUUAAAGUUGUUGCAGUUAAAAAGCUCGUAGUUGAAUUUCGGGAUCAAUAUUUCGGUCAUGCCGUUGGUAUGCACUGUUAUCAUUGAUUUCUCACCUUCUAAAGAACCGUAAUGCCAUUAAUUUGGUGUUACGGGGAAUUAGGACUGUUACCUUGAAAAAAUUAGAGUGUUUAAAGCAGGCUCACGCUUGAAUACAUUAGCAUGGAAUAAUGAAAUAGGACAUCCGAUUCUAUUUUGUUGGUUUCUAGGAUCGAUGUAAUGAUUAAUAGGGAUAGUUGGGGGCAUUAGUAUUCAAUUGUCAGAGGUGAAAUUCUUGGAUUUAUUGAAGACUAACUACUGCGAAAGCAUUUGCCAAGGAUGUUUUCAUUAAUCAAGAACGAAAGUUAGGGGAUCGAAGACGAUCAGAUACCGUCGUAGUCUUAACCAUAAACUAUGCCGACUAGGGAUCGGAUGAUGUUAAUUUUUUAAUUGA